GGCUUCCGGUCGGGCUCUGGGUCACCUCCCAUCCGUGUCUAUCUGUACCCUGUUGCUUCGGCGUGGCCACGGCCCGCCGGAGACUAACAUUUGAACGCUGUCUGAAGUUUGCAGUCUGGGUUUUUAGUUAAACGAUCGUUAAAACUUUCAACAACGGAUCUCUUGGUUCCGGCAUCGAUGAAGAACGCAGCGAAAUGCGAUAAUUAAUGUGAAUUGCAGAAUUCAGUGAAUCAUCGAGUCUUUGAACGCACAUUGCGCCCCCUGGUAUUCCGGGGGGCAUGCCUGUCCGAGCGUCAUUGCUGCCCUCAAGCACGGCUUGUGUGUUGGGCUUCCGUCCCUGGCAACGGGGACGGGCCCAAAAGGCAGUGGCGGCACCAUGUCUGGUCCUCGAGCGUAUGGGGCUUUGUCACCCGCUCCCGUAGGUCCAGCUGGCAGCUAGCCUCGCAACCAAUCUUUUUAACCAGGUUGACCUCGGAUCAGGUAGGGAUACCCGCUGAACUUAAGCAUAUCAAUAAGCGGAGGA
rnacentral:sRNA from 1 species